rnacentral:rRNA from 1 species
GACAGAGGCCCCAAGCGUUAGGCGGAAUCACUGGGCUUAAAGCGUGUGUAGGCGGACGCCUAAGUGUCUUGUGAAAUCCCACGGCUCACCCGUGGAACUGCUGGGCAUACUGGGCGUCUUGGGCCAACUAGGGGCAGCCGGAACAAGCGGUGGAGCGGUGAAAUGCGUAGAUAUCGCGUGGAACGCCGAAGGUGAAAACAGGCUGCUGGGGUUGUGCCGACGCUGAGACACGAAAGCCAGGGGAGCAAACGGA